UACGAAGGGGGCUAGCGUUGUUCGGAGUUACUGGGCGUAAAGGGCGCGUAGGCGGCCACGCACGUCCGUUGUGAAAUCGCCCGGCUCAACUGGGCGGGGUCAGCGGAUACGGUGUGGCUCGAGCAAGCUAGGGGGCAAUGGAAUUCCCGGUGUAGUGGUGGAAUGCGUAGAUAUCGGGAGGAACACCAGUGGCGAAGGCGGUUGCCUGGAGCUUUGCUGACGCUGAGGCGCGAAAGCGUGGGGAGCGAUCCGG
rnacentral:rRNA from 1 species